AUGAGGUGACAUGGGGACGGGCUGAGAAUGAUGUAAAUUCCGCGCUACCGA
rnacentral:snoRNA from 1 species